AUGAGAGCUAUUGAUCAUGAUAGUGAUCUAAAGUCAUUUGAAAUAUUAAAAAGACAUAUAUCCUGUCUCGUACGUUAUUUAAAAAAAAAUGUUUAAAUAACAUAAAAGAAUUAUCUUUUAAGAUCAACUAUACUUAAAAUAUCUCGAAACGAUUAAUAUGUGACUUAAACAAUUCGAUCACUUUCACGAUCAUUCAAAUCAUAUAACAGGGUGGAUCUUUUAAGUAAAUUAGAAAGUUCUACCUAAUCCAAUGAGAAUAGGAACAACGACGAUGAAAACGACUAAAUAGGACCGACGACGACGACGACGAUGACGAUUGAUGGGUCACUUUUUUUUAUAUUUUUGGUAAAAAGUCGAAGAUAUAAAAAAAGUAUUUUUUGCAUCAUAAUAAGCCAAAGAGAUAUUUAGGUGGUCUUACUUAAAAGGAUCAUUCUUUAUAUAGAAAUGUUACGAUACGUUAUCGGUAAUCUUAUCAACGCGAUACAUAUAUCCGGUGUCUAUUUUAAAGGUGAUACAAAUUUUGUAAAGUGAGAUAUAGGAAGUAACGAAACUGGCAGAUUGGUGUCGUACAUGGAACGAGGAAACUGGUUGACAGCUGUCUGAGAGUUUUCACCGCGACGACGACGACAACGACGACGACGACGACGACGACGACGUCGAAGACGAAAACGACGACAACGAAGACGAAGACGACGACGAUGAAGACGACGACGACGGUGUUAUCUCCAUAGCUGGAUCAAUUUCCUGGAUCCUUUUCGUAUAUGGGAUCAUAGACAAAAAGGAAAAGGAUCUUAAUUGAAUGUUGAUCAAUUUUACUCGCGCUCUUAGAAAUAUUCAAUAAUUUCGCGUUGACGUGUCCCAGGAAAGCAUAUUAACACGUCGACUACGUUUGGAACGUAAUCUACAAGUUAUGCAUCUCGCAUCUAAUUUAUUUUCCAUUCCGCUCUAGUUCCUCCUAGUAGAACAUGUCAUCAUCAGUGCUAGAUCUUAUCUUAAGAAUCGUAUUCCGGUUUUAGGUGAAACAUACGCUGAGGAAUAGCUGGUUGCCUUGGAUGCCUAAUUCAAGAACGAACGUUGCCAUUAGUGGUCGAGUGCAUUCGUGUUUGUGAAAAUUUAAGCCAAAAAAAGAGAAACUAAGAAACUGAGAAAAAUAGAGAGCGAAAGAGGAUCAUCGAAGAUGAUUAAGAGUAUUCGAGUGGACUGCGAUUCGAUUCCUAAUUCGCUCAAUUUCGGAUGCAAUUACCAUGUCAACGCGGUUGGCUUAUCGAUCACUUCGAUUCGAUCACAUUCGACGAAUGGUGUUUAUACGAUGAUUCAUGAUUUAUCGAUCAGGAGUAUUAUAGCUUUGUAUUGAUCAAUGAAAAAUUCUCAAUAUCGAGCAAGCUAUCAAAGGAAAUCGUGUGUUACUGGUUGGUUACAUGGAACAUAUUUGCUGAAAUUUGUCCUGGUUACUGGCAAAUGCAUCGCUUGUUAUCCUAUUAUCUGGAUUAUGGUGCGUUAUGUGGAGAUCUGACGAGGAAAUCGAGAACGAGAAUGAGAACGAGAAUGAGAACGAGCUGAAGCUAGCAAGAGCUUUUCCUCUCAUUUUCACCAAGGAUGCGGCUAUAAUUCAUGAAGUGGUGCUAAUUCCUUGGCAACCACCGUCGCACCGUCUCGUCAAGAGGCUUUGCGCGUCGAAACAGCUUCCCAUUUCACAGCGGAGUUAGGAAAUGUAUUGUUUUCUCGAAAGAGUAUCCCACCGAGACCAAAAUGGUGUAGACUGUACCAACCAUCUAGGAUCCACGAACGUCGGAAUAGUGGCAAGCAACCCUAAUGUCCCUCGUGUCUUUGUUUGAGUGCUUAAGAGAGAAGAAAAUCCCCCCGGUUGGUAUUUCAAGAGGAGUGACGUUUGGACGCGGAUUAGACCGCGGACAUGUUAAUGAUAAAAAGAGAAUAUAUAAUUCGUCGGUAUUUUAUCUGUGAAAAAAAAAAUAUUUCUAACGUUACAAAUAUUUCGUAAAUAAUUCAUUGAUAUCAAAUUGUUACACGUUGAGUGAUCAUUUUAUAUUUAUUUUAAUGAAAUAUCAUAACAUUUUGUAAUUAUAACUGUAUAUGAGUGAUGUAUAACGUACGUAUAUUUAUAAUUGUGUAUUAAAAAAAAAAAAAAAAAAAAAGAAAAAAAAAAGGAAGGGUAGGAGGUAAAAGAAAUAUGCCUAUUAAUAUUCAUAAUUAUUCGUAGAAAUGUAAAUAAUUUUGAGAAGUAAUUAAUAAGUAAGCGAUUAAAUUAAAGAAUAGACGCGAGACGAUAGUAUUUGCUUGAUUAUCGAUAAAACUUACUCAAAGGUAACUACGUAAUGGUAUUGUUUGAAUGAAGAUAUGCACUCGUCAAAGAAUGGACAAUUGUAUUGUUAGUAACAAUGACAACGACUGUGCUUUUGUACUCAACGUCGUAUCUACCACCAUAACUAAUUAGAAUUGUGGAAACUCGUUAACCUUUCUCUUUCACUCUCUUUCUCUCUCUCUCUCUCUUUCUCUCUUUCUUUUCAACCCAUUCAUUCAUUCUCUUUGUAUAGUUACUAAUUGGAAAUAUUAUUACGAAUCGACUAAAAUUUAGCAUCAAAGCUCUCUAAAUAUAUUGAACGAGAUAUGUCUUCUCAAGAAGGACUUCCAUUGACGUCAUAUUCAUUUAUUUAUUAUUUUCAGAAAAAGCAUACAAAGAGAAAGACAGAGAGUGAGAGAGAGAGAGAGAGAGAGAGAGAGAGAGAGAGGAUGUGAGGGAAAGAAAAAAAGAGAGAGAGAGAGGACCGUAAAUUAUUCGGCGAAGAGGAUAAAAAGAUCAAUAGAUAUUUCUUUUUCUAUUUAAUACACGACGUGCCAUUUUUUACGAUGACGUAUAACACUUCUUUACCAUUUUAUUAAAAGCUUUCUUGCAGAAGCAGUGCUACGAAAAGGUAUCAAUAUCUGUUCCAAGUAAAGAGUGGCAUUUGUAGAUGUCGACAAACGUUUUAUUUUUUACUUCUACUGUUACUUCACUAGCACUGCUGCAUGAUACUUCCGUAUUAUAUACGGUCCUGUGAAGUGUACCAACCCUGUCGUUGGCAGCU